rnacentral:tRNA from 1 species
UCCCUGGUGGUCCAGUGGUUAAGACGCUGUGCUUCCAAGGCAGGGGCACAGGUUCGACCCCUGGAUGGGGAA